CUGGGUGUGGCGCAGCUUGGCUAGCGCACUUGCAUGGGGUGCAAGGGGUCGUAGGUUCGAAUCCUAUCACCCAGA
rnacentral:tRNA from 1 species